AAGGUUGUUCUGACAAGUCCGUUACAUGCUUGAUAUAACAACCUUGUAACAUCCUUGUUAUAUCAUAGCUGUAACAAACUUGUUAGCACAACCUUGCAACAAGGCUGAUAAUGCCAUCAAGCUUGUUACAAGUUGUUAACAGCUUGUUUCAAACUUGUUACUACAAACUGGGAACAAGCAGUGCGAAAACAACUUGUUGACAGCUUGUGAACAGAUUGUAACAGCUUGUUUGCAUACUUGUUACAACUUGUGCGUUUUUGCGCGUGUAUAUAAAACUAAUGUGUUCCGAAAAAUGUGUGCAUGAAUACCCUAUAUAUUCACACGCAAUCUAUUUGAUUAAAACCUAUAGGAAACAUGUUAUAAUAUGAAAAAGGAAAUGUGACACUUAAAAGCAUUUUUGUUUAUAUUUGUGUACCUUUUUGCACUUUGUCUUCGCGGUCUUGUAUUUUUUGCCCCUUAUGCUGUUUUUAAAUUCUGCUCAGUGACCUUCUCUUUGAUCAACCCAUAAGUUGCAUCACGCCCUUUAGCCUGGUUUCCAUAUGGUCGUAACGGUCGUAAAGACUGAGUCACGAAUUUUCUCAUCAGCCGAAAUACAACAUUUGAGAACUGAAAAUACGCGGAGUGAUUAGAACUGGAGAAUACUCACGAUUUAUAUGCGGUUUACAGGUAUAAACUAUUAUAUCGUGACUCUCUAUUAUAUCGUGACUCUUAUAUAAGAUCUUGACUCUAUAUUUGUACGACCAUUACGACCAUAUGGAAACCAGGCUUAAUGCAUGUGCCCAACUUUAUUAUUUUACUCAGUCUAAUGUAUACUUUCAUAAAAGAUGUAAUACAUCUAUAAAACAUGUAUGCUUUCAAACAUCAAACCUCGCAUCAGACUUUUUAGUUCCACAAGCAAAACUUUCAUUUAUUGCAUAGGCGAAAUUUUUCAGUUUUGACAGCAAAACUAAUUGUUU